rnacentral:rRNA from 1 species
UACGGAGGGAGCUAGCGUUGUUCGGAAUUACUGGGCGUAAAGCGCACGUAGGCGGCUUUGUAAGUCAGAGGUGAAAGCCUGGAGCUCAACUCCAGAAUUGCCUUUGAGACUGCAUCGCUUGAAUCCAGGAGAGGUGAGUGGAAUUCCGAGUGUAGAGGUGAAAUUCGUAGAUAUUCGGAAGAACACCAGUGGCGAAGGCGGCUCACUGGACUGGUAUUGACGCUGAGGUGCGAAAGCGUGGGGAGCGAACAGG